GGGAGACCUAAUUCAGGUAAAAGACGAAAAAAAAGUAGUCGCUACCAAGAAUCAAUCCCAAAAGGUCGGAGCGAGGCGAAAUUGGCUUUCAAACUAGGUUCUGGGUUCAAACAAGACCUGAAUCGGGAACAAGGGCUAUUAGCUCAGGUGGUUAGAGCGCACCCCUGAUAAGGGUGAGGUCCCUGGUUCGAGUCCAGGAUGGCCCACCUGCACAGGUGGCAAAAAGAAAGAAAAGAAGCGAGGAAUCAGCACCUUAUCUUAUUUAUAUAGUAAGAGAGAAUGCUGGCUCUGAGUUCAGAGUCCAGAGGAACCUUGAAAACUGCAUAGAGCUAGGUGAAAAAGCCAAAAAAGAAGACCGCAAGGUCAAGCUAAUAAGGGCUAACGGUG
rnacentral:tRNA from 1 species